UCUCUCUCUCUCUCUCUCUCUCUCUCUCUCUCUCUCUCUCUCGGGAUCGAAAGGAGGAAGGGAGGUCUCGGAUCGGAGCUACCGAUUUAUGGUGGAUGAGGCGUCGGAAGCUCCAGGUAUAUGUGGGGUUGAAGAUUUACGGGAUUUGGCUGAAGUCUCAGCAGUGGAAGAAGAGAUCCCGUGGAUGGAGCCUUCCUUCGCAUUUUAAAGGCAAAGCCAGAGGAGGGAUUGAGGUGAGAUCGCGUGGUCUGUCCGAAACGACGUCGUUUGCGGGAAUUGGGGCGGGAUUUCAGCAGAAAAUCAGGAGAGGAUCGUUCGGCGCCGCUCCGUACGAAUUUCAGCGGGAUUCCAGGAAAUUCUCGGCGGAGUUCGUGGAUCCGACAGUUUAUAGGGAAAGGAUGCCCAUGGGUGGAUCUACAAUGUGGAAAAGUAUUUUAUCAUCAACAAGAUGACAAAGGGGGAGAGAUUGAUGGCAGUCGAGAUGUACUUGUAAGGGAAGGCUUUAGCAUGGUUCUAGUGAAGGGAUACGAGGCAACCGAUACGGACAUGGAGGAAGUUUAAAUACCACUUAUUGGAACGUCUCCAAACCAGCAAGGGAGGUGACUUCUAUGAGUGGUUCUUCAAUUUCAUGCAGAAGAGGACAAUGGUGUAGUAUCGUGAGCAAUUUGAGAAUCUUGCUAGUCGGCUUGAUCGGCUUUCAUAGAUAUUGUACUUGAAGGGAACUUUAUGAAGGGACUAAAACCAAAUAUUCGGGUAGCGAUUAGAGUGAUGAGGCUAAUUGGUGGAGGAUCAAAGACACCUGGAGAUAGGAAUGGGAGGCAGCAGCUAAAGAGGCUCGUAUAGAAUAACCACCACCUUUUUGGCACCUAAGAAGCUGACACCAAAUACUCUUCAAGAGAACCAAAAAGAGAAGACAGUAGGUGCAAGACUAGAAAUAACUUCAAGAAGUUCACAGAAAUGAAGUUACAGGAGAAGAGGACGAAGGGGCUCUGUUUUAGAUGUGAUGAAAGGUAUACACCUGGACACAGAUGCAAUAACCGAACUCUUCAGGUUCUCACCAUUUGUCAUGAAAAGGAAGCUGAGGAGCGUGACAUCUUUUCACCUUGAGGACAAGGUGGGUCUUUGAGAGGGAGGUAUUGUUAAACCGAUCAUCAAACCGGCCUAGCCGUUCCACACUAGACUAGCCCACUCCUAAGCGAGGCGAAAUAGAGCCCGCCUCCCAUCCUUGUCGCUCGAACCGUAGGGGGCAACAGAGCUAUUUAGGAAGAAUUUUUUUGGGAGUUAGGAGGGAAAUUUCAAAGUAUAGGCUGUUUAGAGAAUUUAUUUUGAAUUUUAUGUAUUAAGUAGUAUGUUUUGCUAGGGUUAGGACAUCUUGAAAUUGGCUGAAAUUUGAAUCUCUUAGGUUUUGGGCUCUAGCGAUGUCUAAAGAUUUGAGAGAGCCGGAUCUUUCUCUCCAAUUGAAGAUCCACUUGUAUCUUGUAUUUCAUAAGACUUUCAAUAAAAAGCAUUCUUGUGUGUUU